CCUAAUGAUAUUAUGUCUAUGAGUUCUUAUAUCCUGCCUUGUAUUGUGAAACUUUAUCUCUUUGGAAAUUGUCCUCUUUUGAUAUGGAUAUGUUAGUCACUUGCUGAGCUCUAUAUGCUCACCCCGUUUGUUGAUAAAUUUUUCAGGAUAGCGUAUCGCUUGCUUAAAUGUUAAGUUUGGGCUGAGGCAGUGGAAAGUUAGAAGAUUUUGGGUAGAUCUUUAUUAGCAUAUAUGUAUUUGUUGUAUAAGCCACUCUGCAUCUAAUGAAAUGUUGACGAUGAAUCUAAACCUAUGGAUUUUGUGUAAGUUAAAGGAUCCCUCAUGUUUAGGAUUUUGGAAUGUUAAGUUAAAUUCAUGUAAUGAUAUGAACUUAUGGUAAUCGUUGAUUUGGUGACUGCAUAGACUUCCCCACUUGUGAAUUUAUGUUGUGGUUAUUAUUUUGAUGAGUUGAGUUUAAAUUGUAUGAAUUAUUGAGUGAUGUGUGGUAUGUUUAUGAACUGCACAGGGUUAUAAAUUUGUAGACUAUAGAGGUGAAAUUUUGAUCUGAAUGUUUUCUUAGUGACCUCAAAUGUGUGUUUGGAUCCUGGAUUAGUUGUGAUGAAAAUUUUAAUAUUGUCGAUAUUUUGAGGGGCGUGACAGAGUUGGUAUCAGAGCAUGAUUUGAGAAUCACUAAGAAUAUUAUGUUUUUUUUUAGGUUUAUUGACUAUCAUUUAGAGAUUGAUUAAAGAAAAUGUUCUUUUGAUGUUUUAGG
rnacentral:lncRNA from 1 species